UACGAAGGGGGCUAGCGUUGCUCGGAAUCACUGGGCGUAAAGGGCGCGUAGGCGGAUCUUUAAGUCGGGGGUGAAAGCCCAGGGCUCAACCCUGGAAUGCCGGUGGAUACUGUCGGGCUCGAGUUCGGAAGAGGUGAGUGGAAUUCCUGGUGUAGCGGUGAAAUGCGCAGAUAUCAGGAGGAACACCAAUGGCGAAGGCAGCUCACUGGGACGAUACUGACGCUGAGACGCGAAAGCGUGGGGAGCAAACAGG
rnacentral:rRNA from 1 species